rnacentral:rRNA from 1 species
GACGAACGCUGGCGGCGUGCUUAACACAUGCAAGUCGAACGUGAUUUUUGUGGAAAUUCUUUCGGGAAUGGAAAUGAAAUGAAAGUGGCGAACGGGUGAGUAACACGUGAGCAACCUACCUUACACAGGGGGAUAGCCGUUGGAAACGACGAUUAAUACCGCAUGAGACCACAGAAUCGCAUGAUAUAGGGGUCAAAGAUUUAUCGGUGUAAGAAGGGCUCGCGUCUGAUUAGCUAGUUGGAAGGGUAAAGGCCUACCAAGGCGACGAUCAGUAGCCGGUCUGAGAGGAUGAACGGCCACAUUGGAACUGAGACACGGUCCAAACUCCUACGGGAGGCAGCAGUGGGGAAUAUUGCACAAUGGGGGGAACCCUGAUGCAGCGACGCCGCGUGAGCGAAGAAGGUUUUCGAAUCGUAAAGCUCUGUCCUAUGAGAAGAUAAUGACGGUAUCAUAGGAGGAAGCCCCGGCUAAAUACGUGCCAGCAGCCGCGGUAAUACGUAUGGGGCGAGCGUUGUCCGGAAUUAUUGGGCGUAAAGGGUACGUAGGCGGUUUUUUAAGUCAGGUGUGAAAGCGUGAGGCUUAACCUCAUUAAGCACUUGAAACUGGAAGGCUUGAGUGAAGGAGAGGAAAGUGGAAUUCCUAGUGUAGCGGUGAAAUACGUAGAUAUUAGGAGGAAUACCGGUGGCGAAGGCGACUUUCUGGACUUUUACUGACGCUCAGGUACGAAAGCGUGGGGAGCAAACAGG